rnacentral:rRNA from 1 species
UACGUAGGUGGCAAGCGUUGUCCGGAUUUAUUGGGCGUAAAGCGAGCGCAGGCGGUUCUUUAAGUCUGAUGUGAAAGCCCACGGCUCAACCGUGGAAGGUCAUUGGAAACUGGGGAACUUGAAUGCAGAAGAGGAGAGUGGAAUUCCACGUGUAGCGGUGAAAUGCGUAGAUAUUAGGAGGAACACCAGUUGCGAAGGCGGCUCUCUGGACUGUAACUGACGCUGAGGCGCGAAAGCGUGGGUAGCAAACAGGAUUAGAUACCCCU